AUUGAACGCCGGCGGCAGGCCUAACACAUGCAAGUCGAGCGGGGUUUUCGGGCCUAGCGGCGGACGGGUGAGUAAUGCGUAGGAAGCUACCCGAUAGAGGGGGAUACCAGUUGGAAACGACUGUUAAUACCGCAUAAUGUCUACGGACCAAAGUGUGGGACCUUCGGGCCACAUGCUAUCGGAUGCGCCUACGUGGGAUUAGCUAGUUGGUGAGGUAAUGGCUCACCAAGGCGACGAUCCCUAGCUGGUUUGAGAGGAUGAUCAGCCACACUGGAACCGAGACACGGUCCAGGCUCCUACGGGAGGCAGCAGUGGGGAAUAUUGGACAAUGGGCGCAAGCCUGAUUCAGCCAUGCCGCGUGUGUGAAGAAGGCCUUCGGGUUGUAAAGCACUUUCAGUAGGGAGGAAGCGUUGUGUGUUAAUAGUACACAGCGUUGACGUUACCUACAGAAGAAGCACCGGCUAACUCUGUGCCAGCCGCCGCGGUAAUAC
rnacentral:rRNA from 1 species